ACAUUUUAAGUGUCUAAGUGAGCAAAAAGGCUUAUAUUAUUCACUGGAGUUGCUAUUUAGAUAUUUAAUAAUUAAGUUUUGGGCAUAUUUGUCCACCCGUUCAGUUUUUACAUUAUCUAUUACAUCAGUAAUUAAUUUAGUCAGGAUAACUACCAAAUAUGGUAAUGGCCCUCGGCAAAACACAGAGCCAAUCUGCCAUUUUUUCUUCUCGCUAAGAUUUUUUGUAGUCCUAUUGGAAAAAUGCAGAAUGUCUGGUUAUUUUAGCCACACACAGCUCAAAACUGUUCCUCGUUUUAAGGAAGGGUGGUGUGGCAGUAUUUAAACCCAGGAGCUGAUGACACUACUGCUAAAAAAACACAGAAGAAAAAGUAGUGUGUUUGUGUGUGUGCGCGCGUGGUUCGUUCGUUCGUGUCUCCAGGCUAGUAAGUACUGAGGGCUUCAUCUAUCUAAAAGGAGUCAUUUGCAUCUGAAUGUGGCAGCACCGGGACACAGCAGCAGAGCGAGUCAACAUCCAGAAGACUGGAGCCGUGUUUCACUGACAGGCUGUCAGACUAACGCCCUGAUGAGCUCAGCUGGGACAAACUGGUCUGAUGUUUAGGAACACAGAACGUUCAGAUGUUGGCGUUUCACGUCACCUACUGAGGAAGGAGACCCACCAGUAAAGAGAUGGUAGCUGGACCAGACCAAAAAUAUGACGAUGACAUCAUGGAACUGGUCUUUGGAAAAGUUUUCCCUGAACCAACUCCGUUUUUAGAUGAGGUAGAGAAGAUCUGCAUCUCACCAACUCUCUGGUCUCAGUAUUCAGACAACGGAGGUCUCCCACUGUUAUCCAGGACCAGUUUGAAGCCCACAUACUGCCCCUCCCUCAUCACCAGGAAACAUCAAUCCGUAUCCUGAGGACAACAGAAGACGGCAGGAGGACAGGAACUCUGAGACCUAGAUACCACCAGCACCGAGACACAAAUUACCUGUGUGCACAACGCCUGUUUAACUACUAAAGCCUGUUUAUUAUAUUGUUCUACUCAUUUGCUGUGAGGUUAAUACUUAGAAAAUUUGUAUAUUAAUGUAAACAAUUUAAAAAAAUCACUGAUUGUAUGUUUUCUUUUAGAUGUAAUGGUCCAAACUCCGCCUUGUAGACAUUUAUUGCAUCCUGUAGGUAAAUACACAGAACAGGCUCAGAUCCAGGAUGACCCAGCAUGCUCUUCUUCCAUUCUGGCUGUUAGGGAUUUUAUCAAUAACUCAAUGCCUACUGAUGUUUUCACCUAACGGUAUUUAUUUAGAAUGCAGGUAAGAUUUAACUAUAUUUGUUAGCAAAGCAGACUGAUCUUGGGAAUUUCACUGCAGCACUGAUGUCCACCUCUCUGUACACAUUAGAGAGAAUUACCACUUUACAGCUAAACACAUUUAAUAAAGAUAUAGGCUACGCAUUGCAGACAAUAAAAACAAAGUUGUAAGCAUUAGAAGUAUAAUGAUCACAUUAAAGAACAUUUGGAGGAAUGUUCUUUAUUUUUGACUAGAAUCUCAAAUCUUUAAAUUAAAAUGUAACUGCUUUUUAUCCAUUUUCAGCCAUUAAGACACCCAAUAUAAAA